AGAGUGGGCAAGCUAGAGAGAGAAAGGGAGAGAGAGGCUGCCAUUUUCUAGAGAGAAGGAAGAGAAAGAAAAGAGAAAACGUGAAGGAAGAAGAAGAGGAGGAAGAAGGGCUGGAGGUCUCUAAGGUUCUAAUCUCACAAGAGCAUAAGGAUUGUUGUUAGGGUUUCGGCCAACAAGAGGGUGUUGGAGCCUAGCAAACAAAACGGUGGCCAUAACUAUUUUUGGGUUCCUUGAUUUCUAUCAAAGGAGAUGGUUGUUAACAUGACGAACGCGACUCAACAAAAGGGGUUACUAAGGAUGUGAAGUGUAACCCAAGUUACUAAGGAUAAGAAGACGUAACUCAUAGGGUGGACGCGCUGAGGUUAUUCAAGGACCAGAGAUCCUGUUUACCUCAAGAUGUGACAUGUACAAGUUAGCGGGCCAUGUUCACAAAGAUAUGAUGAUGAUGUUUAUGAUGAUUAUGUUUAUGAUGGUUAUGGUAUG